AGAACAUCUCGGACCAGGCUUCAUUCCCCUCAAAAUCGCAUUUCUUCUCACUUCCUUUUCCUCUCUUUUCUCUAUUGGGAUUCUUGGAUCAGCUUCGUUGAUGUUAGGUUGUGGGGAAUGUUGUCUGGCUCGCGGCCAUGGGGGUUAAUUUAUUGGCCUAUAUAUCGAGCCUUUUAGAGCCAUUGGUUCUAUCCUACAUGACCUCGGACCAGGCUUCAUUCCCCUCAACCAAUGUUCGCCAAUCUUCUAUUGUGUAUGGUUCACUCAUGCAUACCACACCAGGUUUGUUCAUGCACCGCAUUAAAACAUAUGUAAGAAAUCGAUUGCAUGUGAGCCUUCUAAGUACAUAGAUUCCAUGGACCAGGCGUCUUUGCCCUCAACCAAGUUAGCCAUUUUUCCUCCAUGUGUGUAGUUCACUCGCACAUACCACACCAUGUGUGUUCAUGCAUAACAUUAAACAUGUGUGAGAAAUUGAGAAAUAGAUUGCAUGUGUUGUAUUGUCAUCCUAGCCUUUUAAAUAUAUGGGUUCAACCCUAAAUAACCUCGGACCAAUGCUCGCCAUCUUCCUUUAUGUGUGUGAUUCACUCACACAUACAUCAUAUGUAUUCAUGCAUGACAUUAAACAUGUGUGAGAAGUCACUAGCUAGCAUCUGUUGUUCUGCAAGCCUUUUAAGUAUAUAGAUUCAACCCUAAAUGACCAUGACUUCAUUCUCUUGAACCAACACACACCAUCCUAGCUUUUCCUAUGUGGGUCACUUACACAUGCCACACGUGUUUUCUGCAUGUCACAAAAGUACAUAAAAAUUUACAACAGCAGGAAGAAUAGUCAUAUGAUUUCCUGGCAAUGUCUAAUUUUCAGGAAAAGAUGAGCUGAGUCUCUUACCUACUUAAUGAAUGGCUCUGAUUCACACGCGUGCCACGCCCUUACGUUUUCAUGCGAAGUGACAUAUGAAGAGAGACGUGCAUAGAUUUUAACGAGAAAGUAUCGUAUUCUCCGGUUUCCUUGAUUGUCAUGAUUUUAAAAGGUUUGUUAGAAUACAUCUAGAUGUAUUGUAAUAGCGUACGUCGAGAUUUUUGCCUUUGUAUUUGGAUCAUCUUCAAUGAUCCAGAUCGCUUAUAUCAUGGGCCUCGCUUUGGAUGGGAGAUAUCGUAAACAAAAAUCUCUUUUAUUGUAAUAAUUCGAACGGUUGAUCAUUUAACUCUUUUCCUUUGAACAUGGUCGGUUUUCUU